AUGCAUUUUGGAAGGCAAAUAUUUUCAUCCACUGAGUUCAUGGAUGCUACUAUUCCCAUGUGUGCUUCUGCCACUUGGCGAGCUAUCGUGGCUGGAAGACAAGAGUUGAUGACUGGUUUGAUAAAAAAAAUCAGAGAUUGUUCCUCGGUCUCUAUUUGGCACGACAAUUGGAUACCAGGAAUUCGUUCUGUACGACCAUCUAUUCACAUUGGAGCUGCAAGCCUAUCUUCGGUCUCUGAAUUGAUCGAUGCCAUGAAGGUCGAUGAAAUUUUUAUAGCCCGAAAAGCAGAUGCAAUCCUGAAUAUUCUGCUGAAGCUAGGGGAAUGGAAGGAUUCUUGGGCAUGGACAGCAGAAAAGUCUGAGAUGUACACUGAAAUUUGCGUAUCGUUCUCUAGUGAUUCACAACGAGCAUUUAGCUUUAGAGGAAGGGACGGUUACAAAAACUGCAAAGAAGCAGAAAUAGGUGUGGACAAGACUUUGGAAGCUGAAAGUUGUGCUGGAAGUGCGUGUGUGGUGGCGGGUGUUACGCGGUAUUUUACCGGCUGA
rnacentral:rRNA from 1 species